AUUGAACGCUGGCGGCAGGCCUAACACAUGCAAGUCGAGCGGAUGAAGGGAGCUUGCUCCUGGAUUCAGCGGCGGACGGGUGAGUAAUGCCUAGGAAUCUGCCUGGUAGUGGGGGAUAACGUCCGGAAACGGGCGCUAAUACCGCAUACGUCCUGAGGGAGAAAGUGGGGGAUCUUCGGACCUCACGCUAUCAGAUGAGCCUAGGUCGGAUUAGCUAGUUGGUGGGGUAAAGGCCUACCAAGGCGACGAUCCGUAACUGGUCUGAGAGGAUGAUCAGUCACACUGGAACUGAGACACGGUCAAGACUACUACGGGAGGCAGCAGUGGGGAAUAUUGGACAAUGGGCGAAAGCCUGAUCCAGCCAUGCCGCGUGUGUGAAGAAGGUCUUCGGAUUGUAAAGCACUUUAAGUGGGGAGGAAGGGCAGUAAGUUAAUACCUUGCUGUUUUGACGGUACCAACAGAAUAAGCACCGGCUAACUUCGUG
rnacentral:rRNA from 1 species